GUUGGGGUGGCUCAGUGGUAGAGUGCUCACCUAGCAUGUGUGAGGCCCUGGGUUUGAUCCUCAGCACCACA
rnacentral:tRNA from 1 species